CCUACGUGAGGCAGCAGUGAGGAAUAUUGGUCAAUGGGCGCGAGCCUGAACCAGCCAAGUAGCGUGAAGGAUGACUGCUCUAUGAGUUGUAAACUGCUUUUGUACAAGGGUAAACCUGAAUACGUGUAUUCAGCUGAAAGUACUGUACGAAUAAGGAUCGGCUAACUCCGUGCCAGCAGCCGCGGUAAUACGGAGGAUCCAAGCGUUAUCCAGAUUUAUUGGGUUUAAAGGAAGCGUAGAUGGGUUGUUAAGUCAGUUGUGAAAGUUUGCGGCUCAACCGUAAAAUUGCAAUUGAUACUGGCAGUCUUGAGUACAGUUGAGGUAGGCGGAAUUCGUGGUGUAGCGGUGAAAUGCUUAGAUAUCACGAAGAACCCCGAUUGCGAAGGCAGCUUACUAAACUGUGACUGACAUUGAUGCACGAAAGCGUGGGGAUCAAACAGGAUUAGAUACCCGAGUAGUC
rnacentral:rRNA from 1 species